AGUCUCUAAGGUGCCACAAGUACUCCUUUUCUUUUUACUAAUGCACACUGAGCUUCGCUGGCUGUCGUGUGGCAAAGUGCUGACAUGACUCUUUGAGCUGCACAGCGAGCUUCAAUUUUUUUUCACUGAUCACUACCCCUUUGCACUGUCAUCUUGUUUGGAAGAUGCUGCCUGGCUUCAGCGAUUAGCCUACUUGGCAGACAUUUUUUCUUGCCUCAACGAGCUCAAUUUUGGCCUUCAGGGCUUAAGCACCACUAUUUUCUAAACACAAGACAAAAUCGAAUCCAUGAUUAAGAAACUACUAUUUUGGGAUAGUUGCUUAAAGAGAAAUGUGAUUGACUGCUUUCCAACACUGCAAGAAUUUCUUGCAACAAAUUACAAUAUGUUGUUACAUGAGAGUGUGAAAGCUGACAUUAUGGAACACUUGCAACAACUUACCAAACAACUAAGAAAGUAUUUCCCCAAAAUGGACAAUGCAAAUUCCUGGAUAUGCAAUCCCUUUAAGGUGCCUGAAUCUCUCCCAGUUCCUCCUCUGCCAGUGCAUGAGCAGGAGAAACUUUUAGAUCUCUCUUGUGACGGUGGUCUUAAAUUAGAAUUUGCAUGCAAACCUUUGGCAGACUUCUGGGUGCAAAGGAUGAAAGAUUACCCAUACCUGUCAAAACGAGCUGUCAAGUUUCUGAUGCCCUUCUCCACAACAUACUUUUGUGAGACUGGAUUCUCUGCCCUCAUGGCGAUCGAGACAAAGUAUCCUCAGAGAUUAAAUGCUGAAAAUGACUUGUGAGUGAAGCUCUCUCCAAUUUUCCCUGCCAUCAGUGAUUUGUGUGAUAAAAAGCAAGGACAUCCAUCACACUGAUAGCAUCUUGCCCAUUUUAUUGGUACUUCCCACCUGGAGACCCAGGUUGGUGCAAUUCCUACUCCAGGGGAAGGAGCCAUUCCAAGAUUAAAGGAAAGUCAGAAUAGGAACCAGGACCUAGCAGUGAUCAAACCAGUUUCUGAAUGAACCCAAAGCACAUCUCUGAAAGUCUCUUCCUUACCCAUACAUUCAGCUCGGAGUUGCAUUCCCAGAAUGGUGUUCUGCAAAAUGGCGGCCUUCUACGUCAAUUCAUUAUUUUUGUUAAUUGUCGUUGACAGUUUAAUAACUUCUGAAGUUAUUUCAGCUUCCUAGCGACUGGAUGCCAUGACUAGAAACCCCUUGUGCUCCACAGUUUCCCUGCAUUAUGGAGUCUUACCCUUUGAAGAGGAAGCUGCAGGUGAUCAGUAUGUCAAACAGGAGGAACUUCAGCAACAACACUCUGAUGGCCAAGAGAAGCAGGAUUUGUGAAUGGACGGGCAGAGCUGAAACAGAUGGGAUCACGUACCUGAUCAGAACCUGGGGUGCCACACAGAAAAAUUACCAGUGGUCCCUAUUGGGACUGUGUAUGGCCGCAGUGCCCAACCUUAUUACACAAGAGGGCCACAUAAACCUAAGCACAACCUUGUUCGGGCCAAACAGCUUCCACAUAUUUUAAUAAGAUUUAAAGUAACCUGUAUUGAUUUAUAUUUUUUAAGUUCUCUUGUUUCAUAUAUAUUUAGAUAGGUUGUUUCUGUGUACAGUAUUGUCUAUUCACACUCUCGUGUAAACUAAAAAGAUGUAAACAUGA